rnacentral:rRNA from 1 species
UGAACGCUGGCGGCGUGCCUAAUACAUGCAAGUCGAGCGAACAGACGCGGAGCUUGCUCCUCUGACGUUAGCGGCGGACGGGUGAGUAACACGUGGAUAACCUACCUAUAAGACUGGGAUAACUUCGGGAAACCGGAGCUAAUACCGGAUAAUAUAUUGAACCGCAUGGUUCAAUAGUGAAAGACGGUUUUGCUGUCACUUAUAGAUGGAUCCGCGCCGCAUUAGCUAGUUGGUAAGGUAACGGCUUACCAAGGCAACGAUGCGUAGCCGACCUGAGAGGGUGAUCGGCCACACUGGAACUGAGACACGGUCCAGACUCCUACGGGAGGCAGCAGUAGGGAAUCUUCCGCAAAGGGCGAAAGCUUGACGGAGCAACGCCGCGUGAGUGAUGAAGGUCUUCGGAUCGUAAAACUCUGUUAUUAGGGAAGAACAAAUGUGUAAGUAACUAUGCACGUCUUGACGGUACCUAAUCAGAAAGCCACGGCUAACUACGUG